rnacentral:lncRNA from 1 species
AUGACUCAAGAGCAAGUACUUAAUUUGGAAGGUGAAGGAACUGCUGGUAGCUCUCUGUACAGCAGCUGUAUAAAUACCGCUCAGGCAGACUUCUUGGCAAAUACAGCAAGGCUGCUACAAACAGCCAAAAACAAAGCGGAAUUGUUCUAGGAAAUGAACUACUUGAACAGCGGAGGACACUUUGCCCUAUUUGAUAUGGAAAGCACAGCCAAGGGUAUGGAUAUCAGAGCCUCAGAGUUAGGAGCUGCUCCAAGCCUUCUUCCCUAGAUGCCUCACACCCCUCCUGGACAACUUCCAAGUAUCACAGCUCUGGAUGGCCGCUCAUCUUCUGUGUACAGACUCCAACCCAGCUGAAACCCAUUUCAUGAAAUGUACUUUAUAUAAACCUAAUUUAUUAAAGA